rnacentral:rRNA from 1 species
GACGAACGCUGGCGGCGUGCCUAAUACAUACCAGUUGAGCGCUGAAGGUUGGUACUUGUACCAACUGGAUGAGCAGCGAACGGGUGAGUAACGCGUGGGGAAUCUGCCUUUGAGCGGGGGACAACAUUUGGAAACGAAUGCUAAUACCGCAUAAAAACUUUAAACACAAGUUUUAAGUUUGAAAGAUGCAAUUGCAUCACUCAAAGAUGAUCCCGCGUUGUAUUAGCUAGUUGGUGAGGUAAAGGCUCACCAAGGCGAUGAUACAUAGCCGACCUGAGAGGGUGGUCGGCCACAUUGGGACUGAGACACGGCCCAAACUCCUACGGGAGGCAGCAGUAGGGAAUCUUCGGCAAUGGACGAAAGUCUGACCGAGCAACGCCGCGUGAGUGAAGAAGGUUUUCGGAUCGUAAAACUCUGUUGGUAGAGAAGAACGUUGGUGAGAGUGGAAAGCUCAUCAAGUGACGGUAACUACCCAGAAAGGGACGGCUAACUACGUGC